GAGAUCAGCUGGCUUGUUCAGAAAACCCCAAAUGGUUUCCAUUCAUCAACACAGCCAUCAUAGCUGCUAUUUCCAGGGCUCCUGUCAGGAAGGGUGGCAGAGAACUGACAGGAAGCUCUGCAGGAGUUCUGUGUUUCAGCGUGUGUCAUCUCCACACAGGAAUUCCUCCUCUCCAAGCAGGCAGAGGAUGAGCAGCAGUCGGUAUGAUGAAGGAAGGUUUCCCACAGAAACAUUGUUAGCAUUCUCAGCUGCAAGGUAAGUGAGCAAAGCUAUUCCUCUUCACCAAAUCUCCUGCUUUUAACCCUUUCCUCCCAAUGAUGCCCUGGUACAAACUCCCAUCUUCCUUGUAGCCUCCUUUAGGUACUGGAAGGCUGCUAUAAGGUCUUCCCAGAGCCUUCUCUUUCCAGGUAGAAUGACCCCUGCUC
rnacentral:lncRNA from 12 species